rnacentral:ncRNA from 1 species
UAAUGUUAUGAGUUGGGAUUAUGGUUCAGUGUUUCACUAGCUAGCUACAACUCUAAACAAAAGACUCCACUAUGCAAGUAACUAUUUCAAUAGAAUGUUUAUGAUGUCACUGUGACAACUGUGGCAAUUCUAGAGCUAAUACAUGCCAACGAGCGCUGACCUUUGGGGAUGCGUGCAUUAAUCAGACCCAAAACCGAUGCAGGGUGCUCUCGGGUGCUUUGGUGACUCCAGAUAACCUCGAGCCGAUUGCGAGCCCUUUGUGGCGGUGACGACUCAUUCGAAUGUCUGCCCUAUCAACUUUCGAUGGUACUUUCUGUGCCUACUAUGGUGACCAUGGGUAACGGGGAAUCAGGGUUCGAUUCCGGAGAGGGAGCCUGAGAAAUGGCUACAACAUCAAAGGAAGGCAACAGGUGUGCAAAAUAACAAUACAGGACACUUUCGAGGACCUGUAAUUGCAAUGAGUACACUUUAAAAAAAGUUAUUCAACUCUAAAUUACCAAAGUUACCAUAGAUU